GAUGAACGCUGACAGAAUGCUUAACACAUGCAAGUCAACUUGAACUUCGGUUUGGGUGGCGGACGGGUGAGUAACGCGUAAAGAACUUGCCUCACAGCUAGGGACAACAUUUGGAAACGAAUGCUAAUACCUGAUAUUAUGAUUUUAGGGCAUCCUAGAAUUAUGAAAGCUAUAUGCGCCGUGAGAGAGCUUUGCGUCCCAUUAGCUAGUUGGAGAGGUAACGGCUCACCAAGGCGAUGAUGGGUAGCCGGCCUGAGAGGGUGAACGGCCACAAGGGGACUGAGACACGGCCCUUACUCCUACGGGAGGCAGCAGUGGGGAAUAUUGGACAAUGGACCAAGAGUCUGAUCCAGCAAUUCUGUGUGCACGAUGAAGUUUUUCGGAAUGUAAAGUGCUUUCAGUUGGGAAGAAAAAAAUGACGGUACCAACAGAAGAAGUGACGGCUAAAUACGUG
rnacentral:rRNA from 1 species